AGGACGAACGCUGGCGGCGUGCUUAACACAUGCAAGUCGAACGGUGAUCUCGGUGCUUGCACCUGGUGAUCAGUGGCGAACGGGUGAGUAACACGUGAGUAACCUGCCCCAGACUCUGGGAUAACCCCGAGAAAUCGGAGCUAAUACCGGAUACGAGACGCACAGGCAUCUGUAGCGUUUGGAAAGAAUUUCGGUCUGGGAUGGACUCGCGGCCUAUCAGCUAGUUGGUGGGUAAUGGCCCACCAAGGCGACGACGGGUA
rnacentral:rRNA from 1 species